GAUGAACGCUGGCGGCGUGCUUAACACAUGCAAGUCGAACGAAGCAUUUAAGACAGAUUACUUCGGUUUGAAGUCUUUUAUGACUGAGUGGCGGACGGGUGAGUAACGCGUGGGUAACCUGCCUCAUACAGGGGGAUAGCAGCUGGAAACGGCUGGUAAUACCGCAUAAGCGCACAGUACCACAUGGUACAGUGUGAAAAACUCCGGUGGUAUGAGAUGGACCCGCGUCUGAUUAGCUUGUUGGCGGGGUAACGGCCCACCAAGGCGACGAUCAGUAGCCGACCUGAGAGGGUGACCGGGCACAUUGGGACUGAGACACGGCCCAGACUCCUACGGGAGGCAGCAGUGGGGAAUAUUGCACAAUGGAGGAAACUCUGAUGCAGCGACGCCGCGUGAGUGAAGAAGUAGUUCGCUAUGUAAAGCUCUAUCAGCAGGGAAGAUAGUGACGGUACCUGACUAAGAAGCGCCGGCUAAAUACGUG
rnacentral:rRNA from 1 species